rnacentral:miRNA from 1 species
CGUAACAGGACGCUCGUCUGCC